rnacentral:rRNA from 1 species
GAUGAACGCUGGCGGCGUGCCUAAUACAUGCAAGUCGAGCGGCGCGUGGACGGGUGAGUAACACGUGGGUAACCUCCUAUAAGACUGGGGUAACUUCCGGAAACCGGUGCUAAACCCGCUACUUAGAGCUGGAUCCGCGCGGCAUUAGCUAGUUGGUAAGGUAACGGCUUACCAAGGCAACGAUGCCUAGCCGACCUGAGAGGGUGAUCAGCCACACUGGAACUGAGACACGGUCCAGACUCCUACGGGAGGCAGCAGUAGGGAAUCUUCCGCAAUGGGCGAAAGCCUGACGGAGCAACGCCGCGUGAGUGAUGAAGGUCUUCGGAUCGUAAAACUCUGUUAGUAGGGAAGCGUUACCUAAACAGAAAGCAACGGCUAACUCCGUGCCAGCAGCCGCGGUAAUUC